AACAAGAAGCUCAUCUGUUCACAACUUUGCUGAAGAUUUCUGCUCGAACUGUUUGGAGGAAGCUCUGAGAUGGACAGACACGGUCACGGUGGAUAUGGUCAGCAUGGCUAUGAACCUGGUCAGUAUGGACAGGAACAUGGUCAGCAUGGACAGGAAGCUGGUCAGCAUGGACAGGAACCUGGUCAGCAUGGACAGGAACAUGGUGGUCACAAACACGGGUUCCUCCACAAGCUGAAACACAAGCACAAGUGAGGUCACAGACACCUCAAAUGUCACAAGAAGAGGAGGGACGGUCGCAGGUACAACAGCAGCUCCUGCAGCAGCGACUCUGAUUAGAAGAAGCCUGAGAAGCAGCUUCAUCUCUGCUUUUACAAUGAUUUGACUAAUUUACCUGUAAUCAAAUUUGGUGUCUUUGGGUAAUGGGAGUUUUUAUCUGCCUGUAAAACAGAACGAAGUAAUGCUUUCUGUGUGGCCUUUUAAUAAAACCUGAAAUAAUAAAAACCUGAGUGAAAACAUAA